rnacentral:rRNA from 1 species
AGAGUGAACGCUGGCGGCGUGCUUAACACAUGCAAGUCGAACGAGAACGGUCCUUCGGGAUGUCAGCUAAGUGGCGGACGGGUGAGUAAUGUAUAGUUAAUCUGCCCUUUAGAGGGGGAUAACAGUUGGAAACGACUGCUAAUACCCCAUACUCCUUCUAUGUUAAUCAUAGUUGGGAAACGUUUUUUCGCUAAAGGAUGAGACUAUAUGGUAUCAGGUAGUUGGUGGGGUAAGAGCCUACCAAGCCAAUGACGCCUAGCUGGUCUGAGAGGAUGAUCAGCCACACUGGAACUGAGACACGGUCCAGACUCCUACGGGAGGCAGCAGUGGGGAAUAUUGCACAAUGGAGGAAACUCUGAUGCAGCAACGCCGCGUGGAGGAUGACGCAUUUCGGUGUGUAAACUCCUUUUAUAUAGGAAGAUAAUGACGGUACUAUAUGAAUAAGCACCGGCUAACUCCGUGCCAGCAGCCGCGGUAAUACGGAGGGUGCAAGCGUUACUCGGAAUCACUGGGCGUAAAGCGCGCGCAGGCGGCCUUUUAAGUUGGAUGUGAAAGCCUACGGCUCAACCGUAGAACUGCAUCCAAAACUACUAGGCUAGAGUGUGGGAGAGGAAGAUGGAAUUAGUUGUGUAGGGGUAAAAUCCGUAGAGAUAACUAGGAAUACCAAAAGCGAAGGCAAUCUUCUGGAACAUUACUGACGCUGAGGCGCGAAAGCGUGGGGAGCAAACAGGAUUAGAUACCCUGGUAGUCCACGCCCUAAACGAUGAAUGUUAGUCGUCGGGAAGCUAGUCUUUUCGGUGAUGCAGCUAACGCAUUAAACAUUCCGCCUGGGGAGUACGGUCGCAAGAUUAAAACUCAAAGGAAUAGACGGGGACCCGCACAAGUGGUGGAGCAUGUGGUUUAAUUCGAAAAUACGCGAAGAACCUUACCUAGCCUUGACAUAUUAAAGAACACUUUAGAGAUAGAGUGGUGCCUUCGGGAGCUUUUAUACAGGUGCUGCACGGCUGUCGUCAGCUCGUGUCGUGAGAUGUUGGGUUAAGUCCCGCAACGAGCGCAACCCUCGUCACUAGUUACUAACGGUUCGGCCGAGGACUCUAGUGAGACUGCCUUCGCAAGGAGGAGGAAGGUGAGGACGACGUCAAGUCAUCAUGGCCCUUACGGCUAGGGCAACACACGUGCUACAAUGGCCAGGACAAUGAGAAGCGAUACCGCGAG